UUAAAAGCUGUGACGGGAAGAAGUAACCGCAUCAUGCCGGCAAAGAGAGUCUCCGGGCGCUGUGAGGGGACGCGGCAUGGCGGCGAAAUACAUCUCCGAGCUGCGAGGCUGAACAAUUAUAGUAGGCCGAGCCGCAGGCGUGCGUUAUACGCUGAGCGCAAUGCUCCUGAGACUCCGCAAGGAGUGAACAGAGGUGGUACCGCGGUAAUUCGCCCUCUGC
rnacentral:ncRNA from 1 species